rnacentral:rRNA from 1 species
UACGGAGGGGCUAGCGUUGUUCGGAAUUACUGGGCGUAAAGCGCACGUAGGCGGCUUUGUAAGUUAGAGGUGAAAGCCCGGGCUCAACUCCGGAAUUGCUUAUGAGCUGCAUCGCUAGAAUUGUGGAGAGGUAAGUGGAAUUCCGAGUGUAGAGGUGAAAUUCGUAGAUAUUCGCAAGAACACCAGUGGCGAAGGCGGCUCACUGGCCCGGUACUGACGCUGAGGUGCGAAAGCGUGGGAGCAAACAGG